CCUACGGGUGGCUGCAGUGGGGAAUAUUGGACAAUGGGGGAAACCCUGAUCCGGCCAUGCCGCGUGUGUGAAGAAGGCCCUCGGGUUGUAAAGCACUUUCAGUGAGGAAGAACGCCUGGUGGUUAAUACCCAUCAGGAAAGACAUCACUCACAGAAGAAGCACCGGCUAACUCCGUGCCAGCAGCCGCGGUAAUACGGAGGGUGCGAGCGUUAAUCGGAAUUACUGGGCGUAAAGCGCGCGUAGGUGGCUUGAUAAGCCGGUUGUGAAAGCCCCGGGCUCAACCUGGGAACGGCAUCCGGAACUGUCAAGCUAGAGUGCAGGAGAGGAAGGUAGAAUUCCCGGUGUAGCGGUGAAAUGCGUAGAGAUCGGGAGGAAUACCAGUGGCGAAGGCGGCCUUCUGGACUGACACUGACACUGAGGUGCGAAAGCGUGGGUAGCAAACAGGAUUAGAUACCCUAGUAGUC
rnacentral:rRNA from 1 species